UCAUCGAAAAUAUGUACUGAAGUAAAAGUGGAAGUAGGAGAAAAAAUAAUGCUCCAGUAGAGUACAGAUACAGCCUUUUAGAACUUAAAGAAACACG